rnacentral:rRNA from 1 species
CCCUUAGAUGUCCUGGGCCGCACGCGCGCUACACUGACAUGUUCAACAAGCCUCCUAGUUCGACAGGAUUUGGGAAAUCUUUGAACGCAUGUCGUGAUAGGGAUAGAUCAUUGCAAUUAUUGAUCUUGAACGAGGAAUUCCUAGUAAACGCGAGUCAUCAGCUCGCAUUGAUUACGUCCCUGCCCUUUGUACACACCGCCCGUCGCACCUACCGAUUGAACGUUUCGGUGAAGAUUCCGGAUAGGACUUUUUUGAUUUAUUUCAAUUCUGUCUUAAAAGCUAUCUAAACCUCAACAUUUAGAGGAAGGUGAAGUCGUAACA